rnacentral:rRNA from 1 species
UGGGGAAUAUUGCACAAUGGGCGCAAGCCUGAUGCAGCCAUGCCGCGUGUAUGAAGAAGGCCUUCGGGUUGUAAAGUACUUUCAGCGGGGAGGAAGGGAGUAAAGUUAAUACCUUUGCUCAUUGACGUUACCCGCAGAAGAAGCACCGGCUAACUCCGUGCCAGCAGCCGCGGUAAUACGGAGGGUGCAAGCGUUAAUCGGAAUUACUGGGCGUAAAGCGCACGCAGGCGGUUUGUUAAGUCAGAUGUGAAAUCCCCGGGCUCAACCUGGGAACUUGUACUGAUAGUUGCAAGCUUGGGUCUCAUUGAAGGGGGUAGAAUUCCAGGUGUAGCGAUGAAAUGCGUAGAGAUCUGGAGGAAUAACGGUGGCGAAGGCGGCCCCCUGGACGAAGACUGACGCUCAAGUGCGAAAGCGUGGGGAGCAAACAGG